ACCAGACUCCUACGGGAGGCAGCAGUGGGGAAUAUUGGGCAAUGGGCGCAAGCCUGACCCAGCAAUGCCGCGUGAAGGAAGAAGGCUUUCGGGUUGUAAACUUCUUUGACAGGGGAAGAGCAGAAGACGGUACCCUGAAAACAAGCCACGGCUAACUACGUGCCAGCAGCCGCGGUAAUACGUAGGUGGCAAGCGUUGUCCGGAUUUACUGGGUGUAAAGGGCGUGUAGCCGGGUUGACAAGUCAGAUGUGAAAUCCUGCGGCUUAACCGCAGGACUGCAUUUGAAACUGUUGAUCUUGAGUACUGGAGAGGCAGGCGGAAUUCCUAGUGUAGCGGUGAAAUGCGUAGAUAUUAGGAGGAACACCAGUGGCGAAGGCGGUCUGCUGGACAGCAACUGACGGUGAGGCGCGAAAGCAUGGGGAGCAAACAGGAUUAGAUACCCGGGUA
rnacentral:rRNA from 1 species